rnacentral:rRNA from 1 species
UACGUAGGGUGCGAGCGUUAAUCGGAAUUACUGGGCGUAAAGCGUGCGUAGGCGGUUCUGCAAGUCAGAUGUGAAAUCCCCGGGCUUAACCUGGGAACUGCGUUUGAAACUACGGAGCUAGAGUGUGGCAGAGGGGGGUGGAAUUCCACGUGUAGCAGUGAAAUGCGUAGAUAUGUGGAGGAACACCGAUGACGAAGGCAACCCCCUGGGCCAACACUGACGCUGAGGCACGAAAGCGUGGGGAGCAAACAGG